GCGGAAGGUUGCCCGGGCUGGCGCCGCUGGGCAGAGCCGGUGCGACGUUUCCCUUUCCAGCUUUGUUCUUCCGGCCCUGCUGUCUGCCUCCCCGGCUGAUUGGAUUCGUUACUGCUUUGCAACGCGCACCUAACUCCAGGUUAGCGGGGAUUAGUAAGAACUCAGCUCUGGGCCAGUCGGGAAGACAGAUAAGGAGACCAGUUAGUCAGCAUCCAGUGCUUGAAGAGUGCGGCCCCAGGUAGUGUGGGACCCGGAGAAAGAAGGCGGGAAAGCAUUUCAAAGAAGGCACAGAUUCGGCGCAGGCUUAGGACACAAAAAGGGGGAAAAGUCCAGCUUUCAAGAACUUAUCCAGAUUUUUGCAGUUAAAAUUUUUUCUUUUUUGAGACGGGAGUUCCGCUCUUGUUGCCCAGGCUGGAGUGCAAUGGCGCGAUCUCGGCUCACUGCAACCUCCGCCCCCCCGGGUUCAAGCGAUUCUUUUGCCUCAGCCUGCCGAGUAGCUGGGAUUACAGGCAUGCGCCACCACGCCCCGCUAAUUUUGUAUUUUAGUAGAGACAGGGUUUCUCCAUGUUGGUCAGGCUGGUCUCGAACUCCCGACCUCAGGUGAUCCGCCCCCGUCUCGGCCUCCCAAAGUGCUGGCAUUACAGGCGUGAGCUACCGCGCUCGGCCGCAAUUAAAAUUUUUUCUAAAAACUUACUGUGGCCGGGGGGAGUGGCUUACUCUUGUAAUCCCACCGCUUUGGGAGGCAGAGGUGGGAGGAUCGCUUGAGCUCAGGAGUUCGAGGCUGCAGUGAGCUAUGAUCUGAGCCACUGCAUUGCACCCGACAGGGAGGCCUUGUCUCCAAAAAAAAAAAAAAAAGCGCUGGAGUUUGGGGUUUUGGAGAACUACUGAUUAAAGGAUAAAUAAUCCAGACAGGGGCAAACAUAAGCAAAAAGCUCGGUGGCUUCUACCAACUGAACACUGGCAGAAGUAGCACUUAGAUCAAGAAAUAGAUAAUUAGGACUGGCGUGAGCCACCACCCCCUGCCUCUCCAUCUCUUAAAAAAAGAAGAAAAA
rnacentral:lncRNA from 10 species